CAGCCGCCGCGGGAAAACAGAGGGUGCGAGCGUUAAUCGGAUUUACUGGGCGUAAAGCGUGCGUAGGCGGCUUCUUAAGUCGGAUGUGAAAUCCCUGAGCUUAACUUAGGAAUUGCAUUCGAUACUGGGAAGCUAGAGUAUGGGAGAGGAUGGUAGAAUUCCAGGUGUAGCGGUGAAAUGCGUAGAGAUCUGGAGGAAUACCGAUGGCGAAGGCAGCCAUCUGGCCUAAUACUGACGCUGAGGUACGAAAGCAUGGGGAGCAAACAGGAUUAGAGACCCCAGUAGUCCCUGUCUCUUAUAA
rnacentral:rRNA from 1 species